rnacentral:tRNA from 1 species
GCUGGAAUAGCUCAGUCGGUAGAGCACUUCACUCGUAAUGAAGGGGUUGUCGGUUCGAUUCCGAUUUCCAGCU